rnacentral:rRNA from 1 species
CACGUAGGGGGCGAGCGUUGUCCGGAUUUAUUGGGCGUAAAGAGCUCGUAGGCGGUUUCGUAAGUCGGAUGUGAAAACUCCAGGCUCAACUUGGAGACGCCAUUCGAUACUGCGAUGACUUGAGUCCGGUAGGGGAGUGUGGAAUUCCCGGUGUAGCGGUGAAAUGCGCAGAUAUCAGGAGGAACACCGGCGGCGAAGGCGGCACUCUGGGCCGGUACUGACGCUGAGGAGCGAAAGCGUGGGUAGCAAACAGG